UAUUUUCACCUCCAGCAGCGAUACUUCAGUGACAAAAGUAAAGUUGUCUCAUUUAAAACAAGACCCAAGAUUAGGCUUCUAUCUAGACCAAAAAAAUGACAGAGUUACAUUUAUUUUUAAUUAAGAGGUUAAAUCUGCAGUUUUUUGAGCGUAUCUGCGUGCGUGGAAUAUGGAAAGGCUUGCUUUUCAUCCAGACCUUGACGCUUUGUAUGGUGUUGCGCAGACCCUUAUGACGUCAGAGUACCGCGAGAGAAAUGGUAAAGGCGGACCAUUUUGUAACAUUUCGACAUACUCUCGCGGUUUUCUGGUGUCAUAACGGUCUGACAACGGUCGGAACGGACUGCGCAGCCCCUUUGAUUCUUUACGGUAAAAUACAAGCAACAUGAGAAGUGGUGAGGUGGUUCUUCUCAGUAGAAAGUAAAGGUACGCUUGAAACCCUUAAAUCUAACUGGUUUAGUUACUUACAUCGUGUGUUGCACUUUCACCACCGCUAACAAUCAGAAACAUCGCGCAGACGUGUACUCGCUCUGUAGUUUGUAGCUCGCGCUCCGGCUACUGUAAACAACUCCACCUUCUUUGAUUUGAUUGGCUAUCGCAUCAUUUUGAUUUUGACAAGUACUUUAGACUGCUGAUUGAGGCAGACAGAUAGAAGUGGGCGUUGCACAGUAUUUACAGUUAUAUAUAAGGCAAUUAUUAUUCCAAUAGUGAUGAUUGCUAUUACACACCACGGGGAUCUUAAUGGUGGGCACGAGCCUGCGUGAAAAAAAUUGAUUUGGUCGUAAGAGCGUGAGAAAUGGGGUCAACUGCGUGUGCCCUGCCAUGUAGGAGUAUUUUCUCAAGGCCUGCGACUGAGGGUCAUAUUUCAAUUCAAAGGUUUGGAAAUGCGUUACCCAGGAGUCAUGAAAGUUAUCUAGUACAGGAAAGUCAAGCACCUUAUCUUCUAAAAGAUGCUCUGGUGACCAGACUUACAGGGAUCUUGAGCCACAAAACCUGAGACUGUUAAGGAGUGGUUUAAACAUGGCAGUGAUUGUCUUGAGGAGGAAAAACUGCAGAACAUCAGGCGGGGAAGGAGCGAUGCUCUUAAAU